UAUUAGUACUCUACAGAAAAAAAAAAAUCCCAAGAUCAUAUCAAUUGAUAUAGAAGAAUCAUGUGACAAAAUUCCAUAGUAGUUAAUGAUUUAAAAAACAAAACUCUGAAACAUGAGUACAGGGAAACUUCCUCAGUUUGACAAAGAACACCUACAGAGGCCUUUAGUUAGCACAUUUAAUGGUGAAAGUCUGAAUUAUUUUCCUCUAAAAUCAGGAAAAAGGCAAGUAUGUCUGCUCUCACCCUCACAUUCAACAGAAUGCUGGCAGUUCAACAGUGCGUAAGGCAAGGAAGUGAAAUAGAAGGUAGGAAUCAGAAAACAAGAAAUAGAACUGUCUCCAUUUGCAAAUAACAGGAUUAUCUAUGUAGAAAAUAUCAAGAACGCUACCAAAAAACUCCUAGAAAUACACACACACACACCAUUCAAACACCAAAAUUUAAAAGAUGAUACUGUUUAUAAUUGUUUAAAAUAUCUAGAUUCUGUAUGAUGAAAACUAUAUGCAGCGUGGAUGAAAGAAGUCAGUUUAGAUAAAUGGAGAGAAAUACUGUGCUCAGGGAACACUCAACAACAGUGAAGAUGUCAAUUUGCACGGCGUGGAUACCUCUGACAUUGCUGGGUCCAAACAACCAGUGUGACAUCACGGAACACAGUGCUGAGGUCUCGGUCCAUGGUCAGCUGCCUUCCCGGGCUUGAGGUGAGGCAGACAUCACACAGGAGGUCGUAGGAGGAAAGCUGCUGGGCCCGUGGCCUCCACUAUGGAACCUUUAAACGUGACAGUGGGACACAUUUGGUUUCUCAUACUUCUCCCCAGGACAGCUCUAGCCAGCUCCCCACUCCCUCGUUGGUAUGGUGUGUGGUGGCUCACCAUGUGACUUCAACAGGUCACCAGUUGAAGGGGGAAAUCAGAGAGUGGUAUACUCCAAAGCCAAACCGACAUUUGCCUUUUUUAAAAAAUAUAUUUAUUUUACAGUUGGACACAAAA